AACACGGUGAAGGCAAACAGCCUUUGGUUGGCGAAUGUGACAGCACUUUUAUCUGACCAGCCUCACCCUGGCCUAUUCCUGCAAACCAGAAUGAAUGCUCCUCUGCUGACUAAUACACCCAGUUCCAAAGGGAGAAGCAGGCAACUCAGAACACUGGACGAUGCCGGCAGUCACCAGGUGCUCAAGGUAAUUUGCAAACAUUUGCAGGCAAGUUUUUUCCGGGCUGAACUGCAGGCAAAGCUCCCACUGACUUCACAGGGAGCUCCCAGGGGACACGCAGCAAGGCACAAAGGUGCUCACUGAUGAUCAGGCCUGGACAGGAGGAAAUGUCUCUAGAACACUCUUUAGAUCCCUCUGGAUCAUGGUGGAGGAAGGAUGGAUAAAUGAAUGAGCAGGUGUGUAUUGACCUUCACCAUGUGCAAGGUGCUGUGCCACAGCUGGGAAAGGUACAAAGAAUUCUGGAACGCUUUCCUGACCCUCAGAGUCUGAAAUCUCGCAGAAGAGGCCCAUCUAUGCCCAAGGUUAGCAGCACAGCUUUGGAGCCAGAUGGCCUGGGUUUGAAUCUUGGCUCUGCCACACUGACUCUUGGACCUUAGGCAAGUUAUGCAACCUCUCUGUGCCUCAGUUUUCUCAUCUGGGGUUAACAAUAGUAUGUACCUCAUACGGUCGUUGUGAGGAAUAAACAUAUUAAUGAAAGAGCUUAAAACUUGGUCAUUACUCUUAUAAAUGAGAGCAAAGCAGCAAACAUUUAUAAACUAUUCACAGCUGAGUGCUGUACAUGCUUCAUCUCAUCUGAUCCACAAACGACAUGUGAGGUGGGGACCGCCAUUAUCCCCAUUUUACCGACAAGGAAAUGGAGGCUCAGAGAAGUUAAGUAAGUAACUUGUAUAAAACCACAAAGUUAGGAAGUGGUAGAGGUGGGAUUUGUACCCAGAGCUAAGGCACUUAGCCAUGAUUCUAGAAUGUGUCUCCUAUAAGAAAAUCAAUGAGGGCCAAAUGCUUUAGGUUCUCAGAGAACCGAGAGCUCUCUGGGAACUGGGGCGAUCAUGGUAGGUUUCUGCUGAGUCUUCCUUUUUGAUGUAGGAGGAUCAUUUAUAUAUUCAGCCAUAUUUAUUGAGCAUGUAAUAUGAUCGGGCACAGAGCUGGAGACCUUGUGAGUGAUGCAUGGUUUCUACUCAGUUUAAAAGGGAAGACAUCAACGAUCGAAGGCUGCAGCAGCAGGGAGCGGGUCAUGCUGAGCAGGGCCUGGAGGCAGGAGUGGGCGAAUCUUUCAGGGAUGGGAAGAUAUGGACGAAGGGAGCAGGGCAAGGGAGCAUCCCUAAGGAGGUGAAGGCUAUGGCACAACAUGAGCAAAGGCUCAGAGGGAUGAAACAGCUCAAUGAAACCCUAAGUAUUUACAUAGUUGAAGCCACGCGUGACAGUGGGUAGGAUGGGAAGAAAUAAUUAUACUAACUGACACCCUUUGAAUGCACAUGAUGUCUUCUGCACUCUCUCUUUUAUUCUCUCCCUGGAGUGGGCAAACUAUGGCUUGUGGGCCAAUUCCAGGCCACCACCUGUUUUUGUAUGGCCCACAAGCCAAGAAUGAUUUCUACAGAUGAACAUUUGUAACUGAUUUUGAUGAUGAUUUUGAACCCUAAUUAAGCAAAAUGUUAUCCUUCCCCCGAAAAGAGCACUCCAUUGUUACUAGCAGACCCGUGUUACAAAAAAAUUGUCCUUGAUUAUUAUUAUAUUUUGAAAUUUGUCAAUAAAAUACGUUGUGGAAAUUAAUUCUCUCUCUAGUUAUGUAAGUACCUACAUAAUAGUCUUAAUUUUGUAUCUUGACCUACAAAACUUGAAAUAUUUACAACCUGGCCCUUUAUAGGAAAAGCCUGCCAAAGACUGUUCCUUCCAAAUGCCCAGGAGGCAUUGUUCUUAUUUAAGGAUAAGGGAACUGAUGCACAGAAGGAUUAAUUGCAGAGCAAGCCGGGAUGGAAGUAAGAUUUGAACCCAGGCAGUCUUGUCCUAGGGGCCCAAGCUCUGAACUGCACUUCCACCAGUGUUUGCAGAGGCCUGGGGAAGAAGCUCAGGCCUGAACUAGAGCAGGGCAGAGCGAAUGGGGGAACAAAACUGCCCGGAUGUGGAGACAAGCAAGAAGAAGGAGGCAUCCCAGCUGAGCCAGGCUUCCCUGAUGUGAGCGGAACUGCGUUGGGGGCCGUGGGCACAAUGGGAGCCAGCCUUGUUUCCCAGGAAAGGACCCCUGACCAGGGGCAUUGGAUUUCUCGCUUGGAUGACUGGGCCUAUUCGCAGUGCUGCGGGAAAUGCCAGAGGAAGAGCAGGGCUGGCGAGCUGAGGGUGGGACGUUCAACUUGGACACGUGGAGCUGGAAAUGCCUGGGGGAUACAUGUGUGCGGAUGUCUAGGAGGAGGGUGGAUAACAGAGUCUGGGCUCAGGAGCUAAGAGCAGAGUUGGGAGUCAUUAGCCAUGGAGGCUGAAACCUCGGAGAAUCAGGAUUCAUACACUAAGGCAGGAGAUUAUUCCCUCCGUUAACAGCAGUUGAAGAGUUCCUCUUCUCAGAACGGGGCUGUGGACAGAGCACUUUUCAUCUUCGAAGCUCUAGGUGGAGGGGAGUGGGAGCCAUGCUCCUGGGUUCAGUGGGCCUAGGAGAACAAGGAAACAGGGCUAUUUUUUAAAUGAGUGCCCAUGUCAUUAUAUGAUGUCUCUUGUCACACACACUCACUCCAAAGGAUCAUAGAGGAUGUAUUUUUAAAACUCCGGUGUGUGUAUUAAUUUACACAGAAUUAUCUGAUUAACUUCGAAGGCUGUUGACUUGAGCAUGAAGAUUCCCAAGUAAAAGCAGAAAGAAAAUGCUCAGUGUAAUUGAGAACACAAGGAGAAUUUCCUUCCAGUGAAGUUUCAAAAAGACAAAGGAAGAAGGAGCCUCUGAUUACAUAAUUCCUACCUGGGAAAGUAAAAAUCUUUGAUUAUCUAUUUAUGGCCUGCCAUACUCAGGGCCCAGAGGAAAUCAGACAAGCCUGAAAGAAACUAAUUUCCACCACUUCUCCUUUUCCUCUCUCUUGGUUUGUGGCCUCAUAACCUUGAGGAGCUGGCCUGUGUGUGCUUCUGCAUGGCAUGAGGUCCACUUCCACAGAUCUGCUGAGGAGCAGGCCCUGCUGGCCAGGGAGAGACGGAGGUAAAGGCAAAGAGGUGGUGAAGCCAUCACCUAAAGGGAACAGGACUGAGUCAACCUUGCCAGCCGAGGGGAUUCUUACAGACCUAAUGUUUUCCUAAGAGUUCUUGGGGCAAAUAAGGAGAAAAAGAUGAGGCUGUCUGAAGUUUUAGAGGAAGUAAGGGGUAAUCAAGGUUAGGGGCAUGCCCAGUCUUUGGAAUUUUUGCCUUGGUUUUCCUUGGGCCCGCUCCUGGCCUAUAAGGUGUCUGUGUGCAACUUAUAAAAGGUGACCCCACUACCCCUGGCCCCUGAUGCUGGGCAAGCCUGAGGCUGGGACUGUUGGCGGGGUGAGGGAGAGUAGGCCCCCACUGGCCCUCUUGGGUGAGCCUAGGGCAGAGCACAGCUGCACAUCUGGCCCCCCCAGGUCCUGUGUGUCCUACUCAUUAAUUUAUAGAAGAGCAGCAUCUGGAAAGCGGGUGCCGUAGAAAACCCGAUGAUGUGGCAGGGUUCACCUAAACUUAAUGCAUGUCCGUCUCAUACACCGAUUUGUCCUUUUCCUUGGACAAACACUGUCUCAGUAGGCCUGGGGACGUCUGUCUUUUCAUGAACUCUCCUCUCCCCUGGAUUUAAUUCUAUAAGGGAUCCUCUAGGAGGCACUUUGAAAAACUGCAGCCACGCUUUGAGCUGCUAGGCUUCCACUGAAAAAAUGAUUACUUCGAUGUUCUAAAUGGAACUGGAGAUCAAAUCAAUAAGAUCUAGGAAAUCCAUUAAAAAAAAAUGCAACAUGGUCCCUUAUCUAAUAUAAGAAUGAGAUUUUCAUGAGAUGUCUUUGAAAGAGAAAAAUGCAUGUGCAUAAAUACACAACAUCUGUAUAAACUAAAACAAUUAUCUUUCCUGAUUUGAAGGAAGCAUAUAAUGUAGGUGGAGGAGAGAUUUGUAUGUUUACCUCUGAACCUGAUUUGAUUUUAAUAUCAUUCUGUCAUUUGUGAACAGUUCCCAAGCGCCUUGUCAGGAAGAGUCGCUUAUUAAGCCACUGAAAGUAUCUUAUAAAAAUAGCAGACAAUCUAAACUGUGACUCAUUCCACGAAACCCCAGUGGCCCCAGCACGACUAGCUUCUGCACCGACUUAGUUGUGCAAACAUGUGCCAGCAUCCUUUCCAUGGCAGAUUCAGUGCUGACCUCAGAGUGAAGGAAGAUUCAUAAGACAUAGCCUGAUCUGAAAGGAGUUCACAACCCAGCAGGGAGGGAGCAAAAUACUAUACAAGAUAAGGUUAAACCAUUUGAGAUCAGUUAGAAGGGAUUGCUCUGAAGUCGUAUUGAUGGAGUACAGGUCUGUGUAGAGUGUGUUAGGAACAGAGAAGAGGGGAAACUGACCCAACCUAGGGGUGCUGGGGGAUUGUCAAGACAGAGACAUUUGAACAGUGUCUUGAAGGAUACGUAAGAGUUUGAAAGUGGCAAGGGGAGUCUUUUCAGCAGAAGAGCAGCACACGCAAAGGUAUGGAGCUAUGACUUUGCACAGCUAAUAAAGGAACAGCAAAGAGCUCUCCAUCGCUAGACAGCAAGGUGUAUGUGAAACUGACAAAGGAUGAAACUGGGGAAAAAAGCAGGCCAGACUCAGUGUGAAGGUGAGCCCUGAAGGUUUUCAGGCUGAGAAAGGCAUGAGCAGAUUGGUGUUUUAGAGGGAUUCAUCUGAUGGCCUCUGAUUUGCAGAAUAGACCUCUCAAUGAGAUCCACCUUAAGUGUGAUCCAUGGUGUGGUGGUGUUUUUCUCACUGAUUCAGAAAAUUAAUCCAUUUCCUAGAGUUCUUGGCUUAGACUCAGGAAGUGUUUAUACCCUAGAACAGAGGUCUGCAAACUAUGGCUCAUGGGCCAUAUCUGGCCCACCAGCUGUUUUUGUAAAUAAGGUUUUAUUGGCACAUAGCCACAUCAUUCCAUCCAGUAUCGUCUGUGGCUGCUUUCGCAUUCUGGCUGAUUUCGAAGCUGAGUUGAGUAGUUGCAACAAAGACUGUAUGACUACAAGGCCUGAAAUACUUACGAUUUGGUCCUUUACAGAAAAAGUUUGCUGACCCUUGCCCUUUGGUUCUUUGAAGUCUUUGCCAUCUUUCUCAUCAGAUGGGAAACUUCAGAGACAACCUUGAAGUUUAGCCUCAUUACCUUUUGUACUGCUUGCUUCCGCCUUUAUCAAGUGGCCCAAUUCAGUUGCUCUCUUCAAGCCGGUAGUGAGAAACACAGGGGAGAACCACGUACGAAAGAGGCCAUAAGACAGCGAGCACAAGGAGCCAGGCAAGUCUGGUCAAACCACUUCAUUUCUUCUCUACUGGAGUCCCUGCAUAUGAGAUCAACAGCCUGCCACCGACACCAAGCAUAUUGAGGGCAGCAGAGUUCGGAAACCCCUCACCAGGUCCGCUUGGGCAGGGAGGAACUGAUUAGGUGGUUCUGGUAAUAGACCAACACUGGCCCCCUAAAUGUACAGAUUAAUGGGCUGACAUCAAUCUUAGGGAGAUCUUUAACAUGUUCCUGUAAGAUUCCGGACUUACUCCUGUCCUCUUCAGCAUUUCUAUUGGAACACAUAAAUCAGAAGCCGUGUUAUCAAUGUGGAGUUUCCCCCUAUCUGGGGGAAGUGGGACAGCUAAUAACUGGCAUUGCUUUGUCAGCAUCAGUGUUUCAAAAAAUUCUUGAUGAGGUAGAGCAGUGUCCAAACUCUGCUCUCUUCCAGAGGGACAGUUUCUCCUAAGUGAGGAAUGUGAGUCUUAGAAGGUCCACCCCUAACAUCCAUGGGCCCUGGGGCAAGAGUAUAAACGGAGGCCAGCACACCAUAUGUCCAAAUACUUAGAAGUUAUAAAUCAAGCUAACAAACUGCUAGACAAGACGUAUUCUCUCCUCCUACCUUGACAAAUAUACCUUCUUCACCACCUAGAAGCCCAGAUUCAAAUUCAGAAUUCUCUGACUACUCGGAAUCUUAAAGCUGGAACAUGGCGGCUUGGAGAGAGCCAGUCCUCACCUGGCGCUCCCAGCUCUUGACCCACCUUUUUACUUUCUGACCUGCUCUUGGGCUCCUCAGUCACUUCUCUCCAGUUGCUUUCUCUUUACUGCUUCACCAGUGAGAGCUAUCAUUUGGUGCCAUUCAUCCGGUUCUGCCCUCUGGCUUCUAUGCUUAAACCCAAUUCCUACUUCCACCACUGAUUCAUUGGUUUCCAGUCUCUUCAGGUAACCCCCGGUUUAGUGCUUACAUUUGGUAUAUCCCCAGGCAAUCGUGUCCCUGAUGGAUUCUCCCCAUGGCUAGGAAACAGAACCUGGCCAACUCUCACCCACCUUCCAGCUCCUGUUCCCUCUCCCCAACUCCCACCGGUGCCAAUGUCUCCUGACCUUAAUUACAAAGAAUGAACACAUACUUCAGCAAAUUUGGGGCAGCCAGGGGUGGUAGGUAGUCCCACCCAGAAGCAAUAUAUUUCUUUGAAUGCUAGUGUUUUUAUCUUCAAAGGGUCACAUGCUUUAAGAAAAGUUUUAAUCACUGAGAUAUGAUUUAUGUAUAACAUACAUUCAAAAAAGUACACAAAACAUAAAUAUACAGCUUAACGAAUUAUCACAAGGCAUAUGACCACCAGGUAAACAAAUGCCCAGAAGCCCCCCACCCUCUGUGCCUCACUGUCUUCUCCCCAAGGGAAACCAACCACUAUUCUGACUGCUGAUGCUAUUGUUCAGUUUUGCCUGGUUUUGGAGUUUUUGUAAACGGAAUCAAACACUGCUAAUUCCUUUGCAUCCAGCUUCUUUCACGCAACAUAUCUGUGAGAUUUAUCUAUGAUGUUUUGUGUAGUUCUAGUCCACUCGUUUUCAUUGCUGUGUGUCCAUCAUAUGAGUACACCACAAUUUAUUUAUACAUUUCAUAGUCGAUGGGCACUUAGGCUGUCUCCAGUUGUUGAUUAUUAUGUCUAAUACUAAACAUUCUUGUAAAUAUCUAUUGGUGUACCUGAGCACGAAUUUGGGACUGUAUCUAUCUCAAAGUCUGUUGCUGUAUCGUGGGUUUUGCAUAUUUCAACUUAGUCGAUACCUCCAAAGAGUUUUCCAGAGUGGUUGAACCAAUCUGUACUCCCACCUUCAGUGUCUGUGGUUUCUUGUGGCUCCACAUUUUCAUAGGGUUUUUCUUUUAUUCUUCUCCAUGAUAUAUCCAUGUUUGUUUCCAUGUUGAAAAAUGUUACACAUUUUUUUCCAAAAAGGGGAAAUGAUGCUUCUGAAAGGCCUACAAAGUUUAUCGUGAGGCUUCACUUGUCCCAUGUUGGAGGAGCUCAGCUGUAUAUUAACCAAGCUGACCUCUAGAAGGUUCUUUGCUCCAUCAUGACCUUUUGGCCUUUUACCAAACAGUUUCAUAUUCAGGGAACAGCUUCUCUCCUCUGUCUGGCAUAGAACCUGCAUUAUAUUGACUGAAUAUGAAGAGAUCCACCACUGACCUUUGAUCCGUUUUGCCAAGACAGCAUUUAUCUGAAUAAUCUUAUUUUGACUACAGGUUCAUCUAUUUGUUGCUUAGAUCAACCUCUGUGUCAUUUCGAGGAAACAGACCAUGUACUUCUUUAAUAUACAACUCCAUCACCUGCAAGAAGUCUUGGGACCCCAUGGGGAGUAAUCAGUAUUUGCUAACCGACUGACUGCUCAGUGUAGCCUAAAAUCCAUCUUUAUUUUUAUAUGAUAGUUUAAGUGAUUUAAUGAGUGGCUGUCACUGACAAGGCACUUGGGGACUGUGCAUAAAAUGACACAAUAAUAUAAAAAUAAAGCUUUGCUCAGAGACUAAUACACAGAACUGCCUUCCGUGUACACAUUACUCUUUCUCCUAGAGGAAACAAUUCUUCCUUUGGUCAAGUGCCGUUGUUUUAUUGACAGAAAUAAGUAAAUCCACAUUUCCUUCUGCUGCCUUAUUUGAAUGCUUACGAAAUCAGGACUCAUAUAUAAUGUUCAUUUCAGCAAUGAAUAUGCAGAAAGUGCUGCAUCUCUUUAUUUAGGGAUUUUAAACAUUGCAGUCAUGUUCAUCGUGGUGACUGUAGGCUUUUAUAUCUAAGUCAGACUCAUUUCUCAAAGUCAUAUUUAAAUAUCUCAAACAGUAGUGUUGGCCUCUUGGGUAUUACACAACAUACAACCAAAGAAGGAAGGUUAACCUCGCCAAAAAAAGUAUAAAGAAAUGGUGCAGCUGUGGAUAUUUCAUGUUUAGGAAGCAGUGGGAUCAGGCAAAAGAAGAACAGAGAAUUCUAGGGGAGCCAAGCUCGCAAUGAGAAUCUGGAUGUGGGCUUCAUCUUAGAGGAGAGCGUGGGAGUUCUUCUCUAACUUAAUGAUGCUCUGAGUGAGGUAGACAAUUUUUUCUCAGUUGCAUGUUUUGUAGGCAAGGUUUCUCUUCUCCUCCUUUCAAUAAUUUAAAUGCCAAAUACUGACAAUCCAGAUGGUGACCUGGACCUAAGCGCACACGUGGUUUCACAGCCAUGGCUUUGCUCCUGAGUUUAGGUUUUAGGAUAGUUUCAUUCAUUCAUUGAUUUAUUCAUUUGUCCUUUUAUUCAUUUGUUUAGUUAAGUGGUCAGGCAACAAAUACCUACCCAGCACCUACCACAUUGCAAGUGUUGUGUUUGGUGCUCAGAGUACAAUGACGCGUCCUACUCAGACAUUUUUCAAAUAAUCACACAAAUAAUAGUAAAAUUGCAUCUGUGUGAGUGCUCUAAAGGAAGAAAGUGGUACGAUGAAAAUGUGUAUUAGAAGAUCAGGGAGGCCUGGGAUAUGUCCUUGAGGAAGUCAUGACUGGGCUGAUAUCUGUUAAAUGAGCAGGUGAAUCAACUAGGUGAAAUGGGGGGAGGGGAGGAAAUGAGAGGCUUGUGCAAAGGGCCUGUGGUAGGAGAGAGUAUGACUUACAUGUGGAUGAGCAUGAAGGUCAGUGCAGGAGGAGUGGAGAGAGCAAAGGGUGUGCGCAGGACCUUCUUCACGCUAAAGGAGCUUUGUCCUUAUCUUAAGAGCAAAAUUGACACAUGGGGAAGAACAGGUGGACAGGAAGGGAUCCAAUGUCACAGUGUGGGUUGUGGGACUCAGAGGCACACCAGGAAGAAGGUUUUAGAACUUGCCUUUACACAGUCCCUAGUCAGCAGCUUGACUCAAUUACAGGUAUCCCCCAACAGCUGUUAGCUGUCGGGCAGGCUGGUUUCCCAGGUCUGAGUGGAUAAUAGAGAGGAUGCUCAGGGGUGGCAGAGGGACACGCUCCAGUGGUCCGGAUCUGCUCUCUCCUCUGUGCACAAUGAGCCAUUUGGGCAGGAAGCCACGCUUGCUGCUUGCAGAUCUGAAUGUGUUUAGCUGUAACGGUCUGACAGGGAAGACUGGUUGCAACUUUAAUAGAACCCAAGGCACCCACCCAACUGGCAUAAUCUCUCCCCUGAAAGGUAACGUGUGGCCUUUGUGUGCUGGGGCUUCAGUUUACAACCGAGAUUAAAUAUAGACAAAUUCAAAAUAUAAAUGUUCUUGAUUCAAUUUAUAAUGCUAAUAAUAAAACACAUCGUAAUAGCAUUUUCAAACUGCAGGUAUUCAACAUUUGGAGAGUCAAAAGAUCUGAAAAAAUAUUUUUGGGUCAAGCUAUUGUAAUGCAUAACAUACCAAGACAGCAAUAAAUCUUGGUGGGGCAGAAUUCUGGGCGGGGAGGAAGGAAGGGGAAAAGGAACAGUUUCCUGAGUGUCGACUGUGAUUGUCACAGUGCGGGGUUUCUCAGCACUACUGACAUUUUGGGCCGGAUCAUUCUUUGUUUGGCAGGCUGUCCUGUGCAUUGUAUGAUGUUUCACAGCGUCCCUGGCCUCUGCCCAGUGGAUGCCGAUAGCACACCACCCCCACUCCCAUUUGUGACAACCCAAAACGUCUCUAGACAUUACCAAAUGUCCCCUGGGGGGGCAAAAUCCACCCCGCCACUUUUGAACUGUUCUAAUAGAGGAUCCAUAACUAAUAAACCUGGUGUGCAGAGUUUGAUGAAAUAAAAACAAAAACUGCCAAUAAUUUGAAGAUUAAUCUUACAUAAAUUUUUAAAAAAUUUUUCUAUAGAAUGUGAUUAGAGGUUUUUCCAACCAAGAUCACUUUUCCAUCUCAAACCAUUUGGACACAAAGCAUGUGUAUGAAAAUCACCAUACUCUAGCUUCCCUCAAAACUCUCAGUAAAAGGCAGAUCCUUUUCUAUUCAUUGAGGGACAUUGAGUUUAUGGUCUGCAAGUCAACUUUGAAUUUAAAGUCUGAAAUGCAAAACUGGCUUUCCCAUUUCUUCCUCUGCAGAGAAGCAAACAAGGAACCGAUUCUUUGCUUUCUGUGCUCUUGAGACUUUAAAUAUUUCUCCCCAUCUCAGUUUUGGUGGGAGAUGGGAGGGUAUUACAAGCUAUAAUGCAAUCAUUUGGAUGCUUAACUGCAGACGAGAAGAAUUGGGAAUGCUUUGUAAAAUUUCCCAAAAGAGCGAAAUGCUCUGUCAGGGGUCCAAUGCCCCCAUCCUCUGCUUGGACAAACAUCUCUGUCCAGCUGGGGCUGCCACAACGGACCAGACGGAGGAUGUUUUGGCUUCGGCUUCUUUACCAUGCUGGCUGCUGGAACAGACUGCCCCAAACUGAGUGGCUUGAAACAACAGAAAUUUAUUGUCUCACAGUUCUGGAAAAUGGAAGUCUAAAAUCAAGGCCCUGGCAAAGCCAUGCUCCC